rnacentral:rRNA from 1 species
AGGAUGAACGCUGGCGGCGUGCCUAAUACAUGCAAGUCGAGCGGCAGCGCGGUCUUCGGACUGGCGGCGAGCGGCGGACGGCUGAGUAACACGUAGGAACGUACCCCAAAGUGAGGCAUAAAGCACCAGAAAUGGUGUCUAAUACCACAUGUGCUCUAAGGAGUAAAGCUUCGGUGCUUUGGGAACGGCCUGCGCAUGAUUAGCUUGUUGGUGAGGUAAUGGCUCACCAAGGCGACGAUCAUUAGCUGGUCUGAGAGGAUGACCAGCCAGACUGGGACUGGGAACGGCCCAGACUCCUACGGGAGGCAGCAGUAGGGAAUUUUCCACAAUGGGCGAAAGCCUGAUGGAGCAACGCCGCGUGCAGGAUGAAGGCUCUAGGGUCGUAAACUGCUUUUAUCUGUGACGAAUAUGACGUAGCAGAUGAAUAAGGAUCGGCUAACUCCGUGCCAGCAGCCGC